rnacentral:lncRNA from 1 species
UAAACCUUAAACCCUAACAAACACUUAACCCUCAAAAACCCUAAAAAAUCCAAAAAGAAUCCAAAAACCUCUAAACCUUAAAAAACACUGAGUUCUAAACCCUAUAAAGCCCUAAAUCAAAUAUGCUAAACCCUAAAAAAAAUUAAAAAAAUCCCUAAGCCCUAAACCUAUAAAACCCUAAAAACCCUUAACCUAAAAAACCCAAAUCCCUAAACCCUAAAAACCUAGAUAAAACCCUUAAUCUAAAACCUAAACCUAAAAACCCAUAAGCCUCAAACCCUAAACCCUAACCUAAAACCGUAAAUCCUAAACCUAAAACCCUACAAAACCCUAAACUUUAAGAAACUAUAUAUCCCAUAAACCCUAAAAACCAUUUAAAAUGCUUAAAACCCUAAACAUUAAAAAAAACCUAAGCCCUAAACCAUAAACCCUAAGAAAAAUUUAACCCUUAAAAACACAAAAACCCCUACACUAAAAAACUCUAAGCUCUAAACUCUAUAAAGUAGUAAAUCUUAUAUUUUAUACCUAAAAGAACACAAAAAAUCCCUAAUCCCUAAACCCUAAACCUAUAAACCCUAAAAAAUAUUAAUCUAAAAAACCUAAAGCCCUAAACCCUAAAAACCUAGAUAAAACCCUUAAGCUAAAAACCUAGAUAAAAUCCUUAACCUAAAAUUCCAAACCUAAAAUAACCAUAAGCCCUAAACCCUAACCUAAAACGAUAAAUCCUAAACCUACAACCCUAAGAAACCCUAAACCCUAAACCUUAUAAACUGUAAAAUAAACCCUAAAAACCAUUCAAAACCCUAAGCUCUAAACCCUAAAACUAAAAAUCAUAAAAAAAAAAAAAGUUGUAGGCCCUAAACAAUAAAAAAUCCCUAAGAUAUAAUUAACCCAUAAAAGCAUUAAAAAAAAAAAAAAAACCCUAAAAAACCUUAAAAUAACUCUAAGUUCUAAACCUUAUAAAGCCUUAAAUCCUAUAUACUAAUCACUAAAAAAAAUAGAAAAAACCCUUAGCCUUAAACCCUAAAAAAACCUUAAUGCAAAAAACCCAAAGCCCUAAACCUAAAACCCUACAUAAAGCCAUUUACCUAAAACGCUAAACCUAAAACCCUAAGAAACCCUAAACCUUAAACCAUAAGAAACCCUAAAUCCUAUAAACCCUAAAACCCAUUUAAAACCCCUACAAAACCCUAAUCUCUCAACCCUAUAUCCAAAAAAUUUAUAACCCUAAACCAAAAAACCACAAAAAAACCCUAAGCCAUACACCUUAGACCCUUUAAAACCCUAAGACACACUUAAACCAUAAAAACUAUAAAAAAAAAAAAAAACCAAAAAUCCCUAAACCUAAAAUAGUAUAAACUCUAAACCCUAUGAAUCCCUAAAUCGUAUAUGUAAAAUCCUAAAAAACACAAAGAAACCCAAGCCCUAAACCCUAAACCUAAAAAACUCUGAAAACCCAUAGCUUAAGAAACCCUAAAAACCUAGAUAAAAGCCUUAACCUAAAUCCUUAAACCCAUAACCUAAAACCUUAAACCUAAAAAAAAACCCUAAACCCUAACCUAAAACCGUAAAUCCUAAUCCUAAGAAACCCUAAACCCUAAACCUUAAGAAACCCUACAUCCUAUAAUCCCUUAAAUAACCCCAAAAACGAUUUCAAACCCCUACAAAACCCUAAGCUCUAAACCUUAAAUCAAAAAAAUCUGUAAACCCUAAACCAAUAAAACACAAAAAAAACUAAACCCUAAACCCUAAGAACCCUAAGAAACACUUAACCCUUAAAGCCCCAAAAACCCCUAAACCUAAAAAACCUCUAAGCUAUAAAACCUAUAAAGCCCCAAAUCUUAUAUGCUAAAACCCUAAGAAAUCCUAAAUCCUAUAAACAUUAAAAUAAACACUAAAACCAUUUAAAACCCCUACAAAACCCUAAGCUCUUAACCCUAAAUCGUAAAAAUCCAUGAACUCUAAAUCUUAAAAAAUCCUAAGAUACACAUAAACCUUAAAAACACUACAAAACCCUAAAAAAAACCCCAAAACCCCUAAAACAACUCUGAGCUCUAAACCCUAUGAAGCCCUAAAUCGUAUAUGCUAAACCCUAAAACACAACAAACAAAACUGUAAAAACCUUAACCUAAAAAACCCUAAGCCCUAAACCCUAAUAACUAGAUAUAACCAAUAACCUAAAACCCUAAACCUAAAAAAUCCCUAAGCCCUAAACCCUAAACCGUAACCUAAAACCCUAAAAAAUCCUUAACCCUAAACUUUAAGAAACCCUAAAUCCAAUAAACCCUAAAAUAAACACUAAAAACCAUUAAAAAUGCCUACAAAACCCCAAUCUCUUAACCACAAAUCCUUAAAGUUCGUAAACCCAAAACCUAAAAAAUACAAAAAAAUACCCUAAACCAUAAACCCUACACACUAAACCCGAUAAAACCCUAAGAAACACUUAACCCUUAAAACCCUAAAAAAACAUUAAAACCACUAACCCUAAAAAACUCUAAGCUCUAAAACCUAUGAAGCCCCAAAUCGUAUAUGUUAAAUCCUAAAAAACACAAAAGAUACCCUAAGCCCAAAACCUUAAACCUAUAAAACCCUAAGAAACUGUAACCUAAAAAACCCAAAGCCCUAAACCCUUAAAACCUAGAUAAAACCCUUAACCUAAAACCCUACACAUCAAACAUCCCUAAGCCCUAAACUCUAAACCCUAAACCCUAACCUAAAACUCUAAAUCCUAAAACUAAAAUCCUAAGAAACCCUUAACCUUAACAAUGUCUUAAUCCUCUAAAAACUAAAAUUAACCCUAAAACCAUUUGAAACCCUACAAAACCCUAAGUUCUUAACCCUAACUCCUAAAAAUCUGUAAACCCUAAACCUAAAAAACACAAAAAAAAAAAAAAACCUUAAGCCAUAAACCCUAAACCCUAAAUAAAACCCUAAGAAACACUUAACCAUUAAAACCCCUAAAAACACAAAAAACCCUAAACCUAAAAAACCUCUGAGCUCUAAACCUCAUAAACCCUAAAUCGUAUAUGCUAAAUCCUAAAAAAAAAAAAAAAACCUAAGACCUAAACCCUAAAUCUAUAAAAUACUAAAAAUCCUUAACCUAAAACUCCCAAAGCCCUAAACCCUAAAAAGCUAGAUAAAACCCUUAACCUAAAACCCUAAAGCUAAUAAACCCUAGGUCCUAUACCCUACCUAAAACCCUAAGAAGUUCUAAACCUUAAGAAACCCUAAAUCAUAUAUACUCUAAAUUAAACCCUAAAAACCAUUUAAAUGCCUUAAAUACCCUAAGCUCUAAACCCUAAAUCCUAAAAAUUCGUAAACCCUAAACCUAAAUAUAAGAAAAAACCCUUAACCCUAAACCCAAAACCCUAAAAAAACCCUUAGAAACACUUAACCCUUAUAAACCCAAUAGCCCCUAAACCUAAAAAAGUCUAAACUCUAAACACUAUAUAGCCCUAAAAAAAACUUAACCCUUAAAAACACUAAAAAUCCAUAAAAAAAACCUUAAGCCCUAAACGCUAAACCAAUAAAAUCCUAAAAGCCUAGAUAAAACCCUUAACCUAAAGCCCUAAACCUAAAAAAAACUCUAAGCCCUAAACCUUAAAACCUAACCUAAACCCCUAAAUACAAAACCUAAAACCCUAAGAAACCUCAAGCCUUGAACCUUAAGAAACCCUAAAUCCUAUAUACCAUAAAAUAAACCCUAAAACUCAUUUAAAACCCCUACAAAACCCUAAGUUCUAAACCCUAAAUCCUAAAAAUCCGUAAACCCUAAACCUUAAAAACACAACAAAAAAACCUAAGCCCUAAACCCUAAGAAACACUUAACCCUAAAAAACACAAAAAACCCUAAACUUGAAAAAACGCUAAUCUUUAAACCCUAUAAAGCCCUUCAUCGUAUAUGCUAAACCCUAAAAACACAAAACAAAUCCCAAAGCCCUAAACCCUAAUCCUAAAAAAAACAUAACCUAAAAAUCCUUCACCCCUAAACCCUAAAAACGUUGAUAAAACCCUUAACCCAAAACCCUAUACCUAAAAAAACCCUAAGCCCUAAAUCCUAAACCUAAAACCCUAAGAAACCUCAAGCCUUGAACCUUAAGAAACCCUAAAUCCUAUAUACCAUAAAAUAAACCCUAAAACUCAUUUAAAACCCCUACAAAACCCUAAGUUCUAAAUCCUAAAUCCGUAAACCUUAAAUGUAAAAAACACCAAAAAAACCUAAGGCCUAUAACUUAAAAUAUCCUAAGAAACAUUUAACCCUUAAAAACCAUAAAAAAAACCCAAAAACCAUAACCUAAAACCAUAUAUCCUAAACUUAAAACCCUAAGAAACCCUAAACCUUAUGAAACCCUAAAUCCUAUAAACCCGAAAAACCAUUCAAAAC